rnacentral:rRNA from 1 species
GCCAGCCCGCUCAGAAACUUAAAGGAAGUUGACGGGGCCCGCACAAGCGGAGGAGCAUGUGGUUAAUUCGAUGAUACGCGAGGAACCUUACCUGGGCUCGAACGUAAGAUGACUGUAGGUGAAAGCUUACAUCUCUUCGGAGCAUUUUACGAGGUGCUGCAUGGUUGUCGUCAGCUCGUGCCGUGAGGUGUCGGGUUAAGUCCCAUAACGAGCGCAACCCCUACCUUUAGUUGCCAUCAGGUAAUGCUGGGGACUCUAAAGGAACUGCCUACGCAAGUAGUGAGGAAGCGGGGAUGACGUCAAAUCAGCACGGCCCUUACGUCCAGGGCUACACACGUGCUACAAUGGCCGAUACAGAGGGCAGCUACCUGGUGACAGGAUGCAAAUCUCCAAAGUCGGUCUCAGUUCGGAUCGGAGUCUGCAACCCGACUCCGUGAAGUUGGAUUCGCUAGUAAUCGCGCAUCAGCCAUGGCGCGGUGAAUACGUUCCCGGGCCUU